UACAGAGGGGGCUAGCGUUGUUCGGAAUUACUGGGCGUAAAGCGUGCGUAGACGGUUAUUUAAGUCGGGUGUGAAAGCCCCGGGCUCAACCUGGGAAUUGCAUUCGAGACUGAAUAGCUAGGGUACGGUAGAGGGAAGCGGAAUUUCCGGUGUAGCGGUGAAAUGCGUAGAUAUCGGAAGGAACAUCAGUGGCGAAAGCGGCUUCCUGGACCAGUACCGACGUUCAGGCACGAAAGCGUGGGGAGCAAACAGG
rnacentral:rRNA from 1 species